rnacentral:lncRNA from 10 species
GGACAACCCCCUAGCUGUCCAAUGGCUCCUGGAGCCAGAGAGAUGGCACCCAGCAUGCUGCAGUCUAGCCUCUCCCACUGACCACCUGAGCCUGCUGAAGCUGGCUUAUAUAAGGCUUUGGAAAGAGAAAGGGCUUUGGUGACUCUCUGGAAAUCAGGAAAAACUGUUCCAAGAUGUGUGUUAGAGAAGACCAGCUUCCGCAGGAAUGAACCCAGAAAACAGUCUACAACUAUAUUUCCAGCACAGGGGCUGGCACACACUGAGUGCUGAACUGAACUGAACAGAUGCUGUAAGCAAGAAAGAGUCAAAUUUUGCAAGAUUUUACUGAGGAGGAAGGCACUACCUCAAAGCCAGAGCCAAUACUCAAUUCCGGGGAGUGAUAGACACAUUUGUAAUCCUGCAUCAGAAAGUACAAAGCGGAGUGGUUUCCCAACAGCCAAACGUGGGGUGAGGAGGAGACUGAGAAAGGCUUCCCACAGGGGCUACUGCAUGAGCUGGGUCUUGAAGGAGGAGUAGACCUUCCCAGGGAUGGAGACAGGGUGGAUCCCUAGGAAAGGAAACAAGCCAGAUGACACUCAGAUUCAGUAUUAUGGAGAAUGCAUUUCUCUAAGAUGGCAUCACCCUGUUAAAGAAAACCUUACUCACUGAUACUUGUUAAAGCACAGAAAAGCUUACUCAAUGAUACUUGUGUAAAUCACAUCACAAUAGAGGGACCACUGCAAAGGGAUUUUGCAACAGGGAAGAGAGAUUGAGCCCAACUCGGAGCACAGCACUGCAAAAGAAGAGUUUCUAGAGAAAGGAGAGGAUUGAUGGGUUCACUGGUGCUCACUGGAAACUAUCAAAUUUGUAAUGUGAGCAUCCCAACAUGCAGAGGAACCAGAAGUUCAAUAUUUGAGCUGAUUAAGGAUCAAUCAGCCAGUUCCCUGGGCAGGGGAGAGACUCUGCUUCCACAUUAUCAGGGACUCAGAGAAGCUGGAUAAACGUCUCUGCUUUCUUUCCUCUGGUCCAUCCUGCUCCAGUAUCAGUGGAACUCCCAGCUAGAGGAAGAAUGUACUUCAUUUUUAACUCUGUACCAGUCUUGAGAUUUCCUUUGGCAAAAAGCAAAAACAAAAACACGACCACCACCAACACAAAACUCAGCAGAAUUAAGAUGUAAGUUUCAAGCCCAGACCUCAAGAGACCAUGCAUUUUUCUGCUCUUUCUCGUACCUCUGCUCAGGCUGCACUGAAGACAAUUCCUGCCAAACCUAAUUAGAAACUGCAUGAAACAGAGCCAAAUUAGUCCAAUUGUUCCAGCCAAAGCUCAAGACACAGUGAGCGCCCAGCCUCAAUCAGCAGAACCAGGUUCCCAGCCCACCCCGAGCUGGUCACAGGUGGCUGAGUUAUCUCUGCUGAGAUUAGAACUGCCCAGGUCACCACUCAACUCAGGGACAAUAACAAAUGCUCAGUGUUUUAAGCAACUGGAUUUUGGAAUGAUGAGUUACUUAUCAAUAACAAACUCACACAUCAUCUCUUACCUCUUUUCUGUGUAUCAGAGUAAAAUGGGAAAAAUGCUCUCAUAUAUUAUUUAC